rnacentral:rRNA from 1 species
UACGAAGGGGGCUAGCGUUGUUCGGAAUUACUGGGCGUAAAGGGUUUGUAGGCGGUUAUAUAAGCCAGUGGUGAAAGCCCGGGGCUCAACCCCGGAAUUGCCAUUGGAACUGUAUAGCUAGAGAGUGUUAGAGGAAAGUGGAAUGGCUAGUGUAGGAGUGAAAUCCGUAGAGAUUAGUCGGAAUAUCGAUGGCGAAGGCAGCUUUCUGGGACAUUUCUGACGCUGAGAAACGAAAGCGUGGGUAGCAAACAGG